rnacentral:rRNA from 1 species
UACGGAGGAUGCGAGCGUUAUCCGGAUUUAUUGGGUUUAAAGGGUGCGUAGGCGGGUUAUCAAGUCAGCGGUAAAAUCGUGGAGCUCAACUCCAUCCAGCCGUUGAAUCUGAUGAUCUUGAGUGGGCGAGAAGUAUGCGGAAUGCGUGGUGUAGCGGUGAAAUGCAUAGAUAUCACGCAGAACUCCGAUUGCGAAGGCAGCAUACCGGCGCCCGACUGACGCUGAAGCACGAAAGCGUGGGUAUCGAACAGG